rnacentral:rRNA from 1 species
CCUACGGGAGGCUGCAGUGAGGAAUAUUGGUCAAUGGACGAGAGUCUGAACCAGCCAAGUAGCGUGAAGGAUGACUGCCCUAUGGGUUGUAAACUUCUUUUAUAAAGGAAUAAAACGAGGCACGUGUGCCUUUUUGCAUGUACUUUAUGAAUAAGGAUCGGCUAACUCCGUGCCAGCAGCCGCGGUAAUACGGAGGAUCCGAGCGUUAUCCGGAUUUAUUGGGUUUAAAGGGAGCGUAGAUGGGUUGUUAAGUCAGUUGUGAAAGUUUGCGGCUCAACCGUAAAAUUGCAAUUGAUACUGGCAGUCUUGAGUACAGUUGAGGUAGGCGGAAUGCGUGGUGUAGCGGUGAAAUGCUUAGAUAUCACGAAGAACCCCGAUUGCGAAGGCAGCUUACUAAACUGUGACUGACAUUGAUGCUCGAAAGUGUGGGGAUCAAACAGGAUUAGAUACCCGAGUAGUC